UAUAAUUUCAGUGCAGAAUUCCUUUAAAAAAGCUUUGUCAAAAAAUCUUCAAAGAAAUCUGGAUGUAGCGUUCUGUUUUGUGUCCAAACAAAAACCCAUCUGUAACCAAACCAUCUUUAAAGUUUAUGUUACUAGUUGUUACAGAGUCUUCCUGUUAUUUUGUUGUAACCAAAAGAUAGAUAAAUAAUGCCACGUCACAGGUGCAAAAUGACUGGCUGGAGUGUCAUUACUUGAUUUUCGGAAGCUGUUCUGACUUUCAAAAUGAAAAACGGAGUCCUCCAAGGAGCUUCCUUUUUUCAGCAUUUUAAUGAAGCUAACUGCAGACUUAGCACUUCAGAAGUUUACUUGAAAACAAAAAUCAUCAAAUCCAGGGGUCGAGCAGAGUGAUUCCUAGCCACCGGCAUUUUCCUGGGCAGCUGGGCUUGGUCCUGCCAGAGAGCAAAUGCCAAGGAACUGACACUGGCUGGCUGCAGGUUCCAGGGGAAGUUCUCAAAAGUCACCGUGAUGCUUCAUGGUGGUGACAUUGCAGCCUGGAGCUUGUGUCCUAGCAUGCUGCAGCAGCAAGAGGGGAAGAUGACAAAUAGCUGUUAUCACUUUUUAUUUCCAGAGCUGCAGGUGUUUGGACUCAGGAGUCGAGCAGUAAAUCCAAUUGCUGUGAAGUGCUGUAGGCAAUGUCAGGGCAGUGCAGAGUCCUGCUCUCUGUAAGAGAUGUUGGCCAGGGAUGAAGAGGGAAGAUUGCAGCAUUAGAUGUCAAGUACCCCACUGUGAAACUUAGCCAGUCGGGCACCUUUCCCCAUGCAGAAGUGUCCUUGUCAUUUUUGCUGCAGUGCUGGCUUUGAAGCUCCAGCUUGGGAGCCUCUUUAGCCAGAGUUUUGGUGGACAUGUCUUCAGCCAGUGCCCAGCCUGCUGGGAUUGUGGGGUGGCUCCUAGCCUGGACUUUGGAAUUUAUGCUGCAUGGGCAAGUCAGGCUAGGAGGAGCAUCUGGGGUUUAGGCAUGCAGUGGCCACAGCAUGGGCAGAGCAGGGCCUGCUGCCAGAAUGGACAGCCAUGGGAAACAAUGUGCUCAAAGGGAGAUAGGACAGCCCCAGAAGCUUGCAGAGCUGCUGUGCUUGACCACAGGCACGGAAAAGUAUGAAGACUCAGCUAUGAUGUGCAACAUCUCCAGUUCCUUCUUCUUGAGCCUUACAAAAGUUCUGCAAUUUCAGUAGCGUUCCUUUAGUCCUGUGAUGCUCCCAGAUUUCAGCAGCCUCCCCAUGUCCGUUCUGUAGGAGCAACUGGAUUUAAACCAUUUGGUGCAUUUUGCAAACAAUCCAAAUGGGAGAAAUGCAAUGUUCACCUCCAAUUUCUUUGCAUGGGAUCCUAUGUUUUCAUUUUAUAUUUAAAAUUCAGAAAGCAAGUUGACAAAAUCUGUUAUGUCUUUAAAUUAUGCACUCCCUUCUGAAGAACUGAAUUUGUGAAUGUUAUCGUUUGGACCAUUCACACACAGAGAAACAUACGCACAUCUGUACACUCUUUGCCACAAUCUUGAAGUUUUUUCUGACAGUCUAUGUUUUUUUUCUGACAGCUGCUACUUCAUGAACAAGUCCUAAUGCUGUAUUGAAACUUACUACUUUGUAACCACAAUGUAAUUUUAAUAAUGAUGUUAACUCUCAGUAGCUCUCAUCU